rnacentral:rRNA from 1 species
AGAGUUUGAUCCUGGCUCAGGAUGAAUGCUGGCGGCGUGCCUAACACAUGCAAGUCGAGCGGCAGCGAGUUUUACACUGAAUUCUGGAAGCUUCUGGGUAAUAUAGAAGAUCUAUUCAAGGAUUUUGUGUAAAAUGUCGGCGAGCGGCGGACGGCUGAGUAACGCGUAGGAAUUUGCCCCAAAGUGAGGAAUAACUGCCCGAAAGGGUAGCUAAUGCCGCAUAUGGUCUUCGGAUUAAAGCCUUCGGGCGCUUUGGGAGAAGCCUGCGUUGGAUUAGGUAGUUGGUAGGGUAAUGGCCUACCAAGCCGACGAUCCAUAGCUGGUCUGAGAGGAUGAUCAGCCAGACUGGAACUGAGACACGGUCCAGACUCCUACGGGAGGCAGCAGUGAGGAAUCUUCCACAAUGGGCGAAAGCCUGAUGGAGCAACGCCGCGUGAAGGAUGAAGGCCUUCGGGUUGUAAACUUCUUUUAUGAGUGAAGAAUAUGACGGUAACUCAUGAAUAAGCACCGGCUAACUACGUGCCAGCAGCCGCGGUCAUACGUAGGGUGCAAGCAUUAUCCGGAGUGACUGGGCGUAAAGAGUUGCGUAGGCGGUUUAAUAAGUGAAUAGUGAAACCUGGUGGCUCAACCAUACAGACUAUUAUUCAAACUGUUAAACUCGAGAAUGGUAGAGGUAACUGGAAUUUCUAGUGUAGGAGUGAAAUCCGUAGAUAUUAGAAGGAACACCGAUGGCGUAGGCAGGUUACUGGGCCAUUUCUGACGCUAAGGCACGAAAGCGUGGGGAGCGAACCGGAUUAGAUACCCGGGUAGUCCACGCCGUAAACGAUGGAUACUAGCUGUUGGAGGUAUCGACCCCUUCAGUAGCGAAGCUAACGCGUUAAGUAUCCCGCCUGUGGAGUACGGCCGCAAGGCUAAAACAUAAAGGAAUUGACGGGGACCCGCACAAGCGGUGGAUUAUGUUCUUUAAUUCGAUGAUAACCGAAGAACCUUACCAGGGCUUGACAUCCAGGGAAGGUCUGCGAAAGUAGACUGUGCCUUUUGGAACCCUGUGACAGGUGAUGCAUGGCCGUCGUCAGCUCGUGUCGUGAGAUGUUAGGUUAAGUCCUUCAACGAGCGCAACCCUUGUGAAUAGUUGUAUUUUUCUAUUCAGACUGCCCCGGUAACGGGGAGGAAGGAGGGGAUGAUGUCAGGUCAGUAUUUCCCUUACG